rnacentral:lncRNA from 1 species
GGUGCGACUACAGUAUAAAUCGGUGCUGGCUUCGGUGACACUUCGUUUCUGAGCAACUAUGGCGGAUCAAGUAACAGCGAUGGAAUACGGUACCCGGAUUCGCCCCCCGGCUCCAAACCGACACGCUUUUUGUCACGAACACUGCAGCAUGUGAGAAAGACUCCUCUGCCCCGGCUGAGAGGAGGGUCACGUGACUUCUCGUCCCCUCCACCGCCCAUCUCGCCCAUCAUUAAAAACGCCAUCUCUCUGCCUCAGCUGAACAUGAACGACGGCGGCCUGAUGAGGGCGCUGCUGCCCACCUCCACCAGCUCACCGGACGCACCGCUCUGCUCCUACGGUCUUCAUUCUGGUUUCGUCACGCUGCCUCGUUCAUCUCGUCUGGACCAAAGCUUUGCAGAAACGUCUAAAUUGCUCAGUUCAGAUAGUCGACAGAGCUCCUUACCUGAGAACAGCGAGGUCUCAGUGACGCGAUCUGAUUCGCUCUCGUCCUUCACGGUGGACCUCGGCCCCUCGCUCAUGAGUGAGGUGUUGGAGUUGAUUGACAGCUCCUGCUGCCUCAUUAAGAGCUGUCAAGAUGUAGAGAUUGAGGAAGAAGAGCAGCAGUGCUCUGUGUUUGAGAUGGAUCAUAAAUGUCAGACAACUCCGAUCGGAGCAGACGUCACCAUCGAGCCCAGGAGGUUCCAGCAGGCUACUAGCGUGCUAGCACGUCACUUUGGAGGAGGAAGACCUGAAGAAGAGCGUCAGAGACCUUCAUCUUUCAGACACACAAGGACGGCGUACAGCUUUACUGAGACAGAGGAUGAAAUCAAAGUAUGAACAUCAGAAAUUAAACAUAAGGACAGUUAUGAUAUUAAAAACCAGUUUGAUUUCAAAGACAAUCUUUAUUUAUAAGAGUUUUGGAAAUAAGAAUCCAGGGAUUUUUUUUAAAGGACUUGAAAGACACCUGCUAUACAGUCAGUGCACGAAUGGAGAGCCAUCUUUCUCUAAAAAUAAACAUAAUUCAGAUGAACAAACAUUCAGCUGUAAAUUUAUUUUUUAAUCUUGGAAUCAAGUAUAUAUUCGAUGAAACUGUUCUGUACAUAUUUUCACAAGUACAUUUAUAUUUUAUGUUGUUUAAAUGUGCAUAUGCAUUUACAAAACCAGAAUGCAGUGACCAGGAUCUUUAGCAUCUACAGUUAAUUAAAUAUAGAUCUACAGCAGAUCUGUCUGCUAAAGCCAGUGUGAACACAAAUACAUUCAUUUUAUUUGUAUUUUUUUCAUUGUGACAUUUAGAUUUUAUAAAUAAAUAUCAUUCAUAUAUUUUAACAGAAUAAUUGGUCCAGUUUUAUACUUAACGCUGACAGAUAUAUGUAUUUCUGAGCGAACAAGUAAUUUUAAUAACAAAUGAAUAAUAGUCAUAUAUGCAGUGAAUAUA